rnacentral:lncRNA from 1 species
GGGGAUGUGGCAUUGGUCCAGGGAAUCGUGCAGAAUCAAACAGAUAAGAAGCCUAGGAAGUUUUGAGAUGAUUUUACUGCCAAAGGAAACCCAAGUCCAGACUCAGAGACCAUGGCUUUUGUGACUUAAAAUCACCUUGGGGACGUAACCCUUCUCAGGCAGGUGGAAGACGAAAGAAGUGUCUUAUUCCUCCAGGAGAAAUUUCCCCAAGGCCCAUGACAGACGUGACAAAGGAGCAUAACAGAAGAAUUAGCCUUACAGACUUAGCCUUGAUGGCAGGAAUCACCAAGGACAACAGACAUGGAAUCUCCUCUCCAGGAAUGGAAGUGGGGCUUCAUCUAGAACAUUCUAGGUGGUCCGCUCAGUGAUGGCUGCCAGGAAUUUCUGCGAAGAGAACCCUGAUGUGCAGACAUGGGAAAAGCUUCAUGGAGCUGUUGUUUCUUGGCAGUCAACAUUCCCCAGAGUAUAGAUGCUAUUACCGAUCUUGCUUAUGGUCUAAAGGAAGCUUGCAGGUGGGAGCCUCAGCCGAGGAGCCUUGAUGUCAAGAAUCAGCAGCUGCUCGUACAUCACCCUGGUCGUUAGCGGAGGAUCACCGUGGACCUUUGCCCAGCGCACCUUGCUACAGCAGGAGAAGGGCUAUAAAACCCUCGGCCCUGUCAGCCGUUGUCACUUAGGGCUCCUAGGUGCGGUGGAAAAACCAAGGCCAUCUGAAUAUCCUUCUCAGGAAACAGGUGAAGAACAACCUAGGCCCCUUGAGUUUUCCAUCCAAAUCUCUUCCCAUGUUCCAAGGGCCAAGGACCCGACCCUGUGUUGGUUUGUCUUCUUCAAGAGACUCACUGGCCAGCUCCCACUCAAUCCAAUUUCAUCCUUCAAACAUUUUCAGAGCCUUUAAAAUUUUCAGGACUGUGGGAAAUUAAAAAAAAAAAAUUACCUCUCCCUAAGUAAGUUGAUACUCAGUGUAAUAUAGGGAAAAUUUUCCCUUUCUUAAGGCAUUGAUGGUAUCCUAGACGUGAAUACUCCGGCAAAGAAAUGCUGCUGUGAAAUUCCUCUUCCAGGUGAUAAGGUGCGGGUGGACCCCAGGCUCUGCAGGUCCAGGGCCACCUGGGACUCCCACUUCACUUCUCUCUCUCUCAGUUGCGCCAUCUGUAAAGUGAAGAGGGUGAUAGAGAUGAUUUCUGAAAUCCUACCAAUGGCAGAAUUCUAAGAAUCACAAUCGACUUAGAGAGAUUCGGAAAGUAAGCACUCUCACCAUGAGAAGGAAGAAAUGAGAAGGAAGAAAUCGGAGCCAAAAAUACACUGAAGAGUGAAUCCUGAGGGCAUCUUCUUCUGCCCUUGGUGCCAGGAAAGGAAUCCAUUCCUGGUCCUGCAGGUAAAUAGAAGUAAUCAGAUAUAAUCACUGAAUACCGACUUGGUGAUCUGCCUCCUUGUCAACAUGCUUUCCCCAUCUAGAUGGAGGACUUCCAUCCCUCUUUUAUUCCUAGACAUCUUUGUAGUCUAGAACCACAGAGUUUUUAGCAUGGGAACGGCAUUUUGAGUUGGUCCAGUUUAAUUUCCUCCAAUUUCCUUCCUCCGAAGGAGGUCUGCCUGAGCUUCCGGUCACUCCCAAGCAGUCGCUCUCUCUCCUCAACCACAGUUUCACUUGUUACGUACUUACCUAGUAGCUUGGAUGAUGCAAUAUUCAUGCAUGUGAUUUAUCUCUUCCUAAGCACCUGCAACAUAGAUGUUGUGUUUUAAAAGAACAGAUGCUGACUCACAGACAUUGAAAAACUUAUGGUCUCUGGAGGAGACAGUUUGGGGGGUGGGAGGAUGUGCCUGGGUUGUGGGAUGGAAAUCCUGUGAAAUCAGAUUGUUACGAUCAUUAUACAACUACAGAUGUGAUAAAUUCAUUUGAGUAAUAAAAAAUUAAAAAAAAUAAAAAAAAA